rnacentral:rRNA from 1 species
AUUGAACGCUGGCGGCAGGCCUAACACAUGCAAGUCGAACGAGUGGCGGACGGGUGAGUAAUGUCUGGGAAACUGCCCGAUGGAGGGGGAUAACUACUGGAAACGGUAGCUAAUACCGCAUACCAUCGGAUGUGCCCAGAUGGGAUUAGCUAGUAGGUGGGGUAAUGGCUCACCUAGGCGACGAUCCCUAGCUGGUCUGAGAGGAUGACAAGCCACACGGGAACCGAGACACGGUCCAGACGCAUACGGGAGGCAGCAGGGGGGAAGAGUGCACAAUGGGCGCAAGCCUGAUGCAGCCAUGCCGCGUGUAUGAAGAAGGCCUUCGGGUUGUAAAGUACUUUCAGCGGGGAGGCGUUACCCGCAGAAGAAGCACCGGCUAACUCCGUGCCAGCAGCCGCGGUAAUUC